CCUACGGUGGCAGCAGUGGGGAAUAUUGGACAAUGGGCGAAAGCCUGAUCCAGCCAUGCCGCGUGUGUGAAGAAGGCCUUCGGGUUGUAAAGCACUUUCAGUGGGGAAGAAAGCCUUGGGGCUAAUACCCUCGAGGAAGGACAUUACCCACAGAAGAAGCACCGGCUAACUCCGUGCCAGCAGCCGCGGUAAUACGGAGGGUGCGAGCGUUAAUCGGAAUUACUGGGCGUAAAGCGCGCGUAGGCGGUCUGAUAAGCCGGUUGUGAAAGCCCCGGGCUCAACCUGGGAACGGCAUCCGGAACUGUCAGGCUAGAGUGCAGGAGAGGAAGGUAGAAUUCCCGGUGUAGCGGUGAAAUGCGUAGAGAUCGGGAGGAAUACCAGUGGCGAAGGCGGCCUUCUGGACUGACACUGACGCUGAGGUGCGAAAGCGUGGGUAGCAAACAGGAUUAGAUACCCGUGUAGUC
rnacentral:rRNA from 1 species